CCUACGGGGGGCAGCAGUGGGGAAUAUUGGACAAUGGGGGGAACCCUGAUCCAGCGACGCCGCGUGAGUGAAGAAGUAUUUCGGUAUGUAAAGCUCUAUCAGCAGGGAAGAAAGAAAUGACGGUACCUGACUAAGAUGCCCCGGCUAACUACGUGCCAGCAGCCGCGGGAAUACGUAGGGGGCAAGCGUUAUCCGGAUUUACUGGGUGUAAAGGGAGCGUAGGCGGCGAUGCAAGUCUGAAGUGAAAGGCGGGGGCCCAACCCCCGGACUGCUUUGGAAACUGGAUGGCUGGAGUGCAGGAGAGGUAAGUGGAAUUCCUGGUGUAGCGGUGAAAUGCGUAGAUAUUAGGAGGAACACCAGUGGCGAAGGCGGCUUACUGGACUGUAACUGACGUUGAGGCUCGAAAGCGUGGGGAGCAAACAGGAUUAGAUACCCUUGUAGUC
rnacentral:rRNA from 1 species